GUGCUUACUUUGGUCUCACAUACACUACAAUUAGAACAGUAUAGAAAAGAUUAGCAUGGUCCUGGGGCUAGGAUGACACAAAUUCAUGAAGCAGUCCAAAUUUUA
ensembl:snRNA U6 U6 spliceosomal RNA